rnacentral:rRNA from 1 species
AGGGAAUCUUCCACAAUGGACGCAAGUCUGAUGGAGCAACGCCGCGUGAGUGAAGAAGGCUUUCGGGUCGUAAAACUCUGUUGUUGGAGAAGAAUGGUCGGCAGAGUAACUGUUGUCGGCGUGACGGUAUCCAACCAGAAAGCCACGGCUAACUACGUGCCAGCAGCCGCGGUAAUACGUAGGUGGCAAGCGUUAUCCGGAUUUAUUGGGCGUAAAGCGAGCGCAGGCGGUUUUUUAAGUCUGAUGUGAAAGCCCUCGGCUUAACCGAGGAAGCGCAUCGGAAACUGGGAAACUUGAGUGCAGAAGAGGACAGUGGAACUCCAUGUGUAGCGGUGAAAUGCGUAGAUAUAUGGAAGAACACCAGUGGCGAAGGCGGCUGUCUGGUCUGUAACUGACGCUGAGGCUCGAAAGCAUGGGUAGCGAACAGGAUUAGAUACCCUGGUAGUCCAUGCCGUAAACGAUGAAUGCUAGGUGUUGGAGGGUUUCCGCCCUUCAGUGCCGCAGCUAACGCAUUAAGCAUUCCGCCUGGGGAGUACGACCGC